GGAAAGGCGCGCGAUACAGGGUGACAGCCCCGUACACAAAAAUGCACAUGCUGUGAGCUCGAUGAGUAGGGCGGGACACGUGGUAUCCUGUCUGAAUAUGGGGGGACCAUCCUCCAAGGCUAAAUACUCCUGACUGACCGAUAGUGAACCAGUACCGUGAGGGAAAGGCGAAAAGAACCCCGGCGAGGGGAGUGAAAAAGAACCUGAAACCGUGUACGUACAAGCAGUGGGAGCACGCUUAGGCGUGUGACUGCGUACCUUUUGUAUAAUGGGUCAGCGACUUAUAUUCUGUAGCAAGGUUAACCGAAUAGGGGAGCCGAAGGGAAACCGAGUCUUAACUGGGCGUUAAGUUGCAGGGUAUAGACCCGAAACCCGGUGAUCUAGCCAUGGGCAGGUUGAAGGUUGGGUAACACUAACUGGAGGACCGAACCGACUAAUGUUGAAAAAUUAGCGGAUGACUUGUGGCUGGGGGUGAAAGGCCAAUCAAACCGGGAGAUAGCUGGUUCUCCCCGAAAGCUAUUUAGGUAGCGCCUCGUGAAUUCAUCUCCGGGGGUAGAGCACUGUUUCGGCAAGGGGGUCAUCCCGACUUACCAACCCGAUGCAAACUGCGAAUACCGGAGAAUGUUAUCACGGGAGA
rnacentral:rRNA from 1 species